rnacentral:rRNA from 1 species
GAUGAACGCUGGCGGCGUGCCUAAUACAUGCAAGUCGAGCGAACAGACGAGGAGCUUGCUCCUCUGACGUUAGCGGCGGACGGGUGAGUAAACCGUGGAUAACCUACCUAUAAGACUGGGAUAACUUCGGGAAACCGGAGCUAAUACCGGAUAAUCUAUUGAACCGCAUGGUUCAAUAGUGAAAGACGGUUUUGCUGUCACUUAUAGAUGGAUCCGCGCCGCAUUAGCUAGUUGGUAAGGUAACGGCUUACCAAGGCAACGAUGCGUAGCCGACCUGCGAGGGUGAUCGGCCACACUGGAACUGAGACACGGUCCAGACUCCUACGGGAGGCAGCAGUAGGGAAUCUUCCGCAAUGGGCGAAAGCCUGACGGAGCAACGCCGCGUGAGUGAUGAAGGUCUUCGGAUCGUAAAACUCUGUUAUUAGGGAAGAACAAAUGUGUAAGUAACUAUGCACGUCUUGACGGUACCUAAUCAGAAAGCCACGGCUAACUACGUG